GAUGAACGCUGGCGGCGUGCCUAAUACAUGCAAGUCGAGCGAACAGACGAGGAGCUUGCUCCUCUGACGUUAGCGGCGGACGGGUGAGUAACACGUGGAUAACCUACCUAUAAGACUGGGAUAAAUUCGGGAAACCGGAGCUAAUACCGGAUAAUAUAUUGAACCGCAUGGUUCAAUAGUGAAAGACGGUUUUGCUGUCACUUAUAGAUGGAUCCGCGCCGCAUUAGCUAGUUGGUAAGGUAACAGCUUACCAAGGCAACGAUGCGUAGCCGACCUGAGAGGGGGGUCGGCCACACUGGAACUGAGACACGGUCCAUACUCCUACGGGAGGCAGCAGUAGGGAAUCUUCCGCAAUGGGCGAAAGCUUGACGGAGCAACGCCGCGUGAGUGAUGAAGGUCUUCGGAUCGGAAAACUCUGUUAUUAGGGAAGAACAAAUGUGUAAGUAACUAUGCACGGCUUGACGGUACCGAAUCAGAAAGCCACGGCUAACUACGUG
rnacentral:rRNA from 1 species